rnacentral:rRNA from 1 species
AUACGGAGGGGGCUAGCGUUGUUCGGAAUUACUGGGCGUAAAGCGCGCGUAGGCGGCUUAUCAAGUCAGGCGUGAAAGCCCCAGGCUCAACCUGGGAACUGCGCUUGAUACUGGUAGACUAGAGGCCGGGAGAGGGUAGUGGAAUUCCCAGUGUAGAGGUGAAAUUCGUAGAUAUUGGGAAGAACACCAGUGGCGAAGGCGGCUACCUGGACCGGACCUGACGCUGAGGUGCGAAAGCGUGGGGAGCAAACAGGAUUAGAAACCCCGGUAGUCC